rnacentral:rRNA from 1 species
AAGCGGCAACAGCUCAAAUUUGAAAUCUGGCUUUCGGGCCCGAGUUGUAAUUUGUAGAGGAUACUUUUGAUGCGGUGCCUUCCGAGUUCCCUGGAACGGGACGCCAUAGAGGGUGAGAGCCCCGUCUGGUUGGAUGCCAAAUCUCUGUAAAGUUCCUUCGACGAGUCGAGUAGUUUGGGAAUGCUGCUCUAAAUGGGAGGUAUAUGUCUUCUAAAGCUAAAUAUUGGCCAGAGACCGAUAGCGCACAAGUAGAGUGAUCGAAAGAUGAAAAGCACUUUGAAAAGAGAGUUAAAAAGUACGUGAAAUUGUUGAAAGGGAAGCGUUUAUGACCAGACUUGGACUUGGUUAAUCAUCUGGGGUUCUCCCCAGUGCACUUUUCCAGUUCAGGCCAGCAUCAGUUUUCGCCGGGGGAUAAAGGCUUCGGGAAUGUAGCUCUCUUCGGGGAGUGUUAUAGCCCGUUGUGUAAUACCCUGGCGGAGACUGAGGUUCGCGCUUCUGCAAGGAUGCUGGCGUAAUGGUCAUCAACGACCCG